UACGUAGGGCGCAAGCGUUGUCCGGAAUUAUUGGGCGUAAAGAGCUCGUAGGCGGCUUGUCACGUCGGGUGUGAAAGCCCGGGGCUUAACCCCGGGUCUGCAUUCGAUACGGGCUGGCGUAGAGUGUGGUAGGGGAGAUCGAAUUCCUGGUGUAGCGGUGAAAUGCGCAGAUAUCAGGAGGAACACCGGUGGCGAAGGCGGAUCUCUGGGCCAUUACUGACGCUGAGAAGCGAAAGCAUGGGGAGCGAACAGG
rnacentral:rRNA from 1 species